GAUGAACGCUGGCGGCGUGCCUAAUACAUGCAAGUCGAGCGAACGGACGAGAAGCUUGCUUUUCUGAUGUUAGCGGCGGACGGGUGAGUAACACGUGGAUAACCUACCUAUAAGACUGGGAUAACUUCGGGAAACCGGAGCUAAUACCGGAUAAUAUUUUGAACCGCAUGGUUCAAAAGUGAAAGACGGUCUUGCUGUCACUUAUAGAUGGAUCCGCGCUGCAUUAGCUAGUUGGUAAGGUAACGGCUUACCAAGGCAACGAUGCAUAGCCGACCUGAGAGGGUGAUCGGCCACACUGGACCUGAGACACGGUCCAGACUCCUACGGGAGGCAGCAGUAGGGAAUCUUCCGCAAUGGGCGAAAGCCUGACGGAGCAACGCCGCGUGAGUGAUGAAGUUCUUCGGAUCGUAAAACUCUGUUAUUAGGGAAGAACAUAUGUGUAAGUAACUGUGCACAUCUUGACGGUACCUAAUCAGAAAGCCACGGCUAACUACGUG
rnacentral:rRNA from 1 species